GGCGGUGUAGCCAAGCGGUAAGGCAACGGACUGCAAAUCCCUGAUCACCGGUUUCGAAUCCGGUCGCCGCCUCCA
rnacentral:tRNA from 1 species